UACAGAGGUCUCAAGCGUUGUUCGGAUUCAUUGGGCGUAAAGGGUGCGUAGGUGGCGGGGUAAGUCAGGUGUGAAAUUUCGGAGCUCAACUCCGAAACUGCAUUCGAUACUGCGGUGCUUGAGGACUGGAGAGGAGACUGGGAUUCAUGGUGUAGCAGUGAAAUGCGUAGAGAUCAUGAGGAAGACCAGUGGCGAAGGCGGGUCUCUGGACAGUUCCUGACACUGAGACACGAAGGCCAGGGGAGCAAACGGG
rnacentral:rRNA from 1 species